rnacentral:rRNA from 1 species
UACAGAGGCCUCGAGCGUUUGUUCGGAAUUACUGGGCGUAAAGGGAAUGUAGGUGGUGACGUAAGUCAGAUGUGAAAGCCCUGGGCUUAACCUGGGAAGUGCAUUUGAUACUGCGUUGCUGGAGUGCGAGAGAGGAAAGCGGAAUUCCAGGUGUAGGAGUGAAAUCCGUAGAUAUCUGGAGGAAUACCGAUGGUGAAGACAGCUUUCUGGCUCGUAACUGACACUGAGAUUCGAAAGCAUGGGUAGCAAACAGG